GUGUCAGCAGCCGCGGUAAGACGAAGGUGGCGAGCGUUGUUCGGAAUCACUGGGCAUAAAGCGCACGUAGGCGGCGACGUAAGUCGGAUGUGAAAUCCCUCGGCCCAACCGAGGAACUGCGUCCGAUACUGCGUUGCUUGAGGGUCAAAGGGGUGCAUGGAAUUCCCGGUGGAGCGGUGAAAUGCGUUGAUAUCGGGAGGAACGCCGGCGGCGAAAGCGGUGCACUGGUUGACUUCUGACGCUCAUGUGCGAAAGCCAGGGGAGCAAACGGGAUUAGAAACCCCCGUAGUCC
rnacentral:rRNA from 1 species